rnacentral:pre_miRNA from 1 species
AGUGGGAUAACUGGGUCAAAUGGUGAUUCCAUCCCUAGUUUUAUGAGGAACCUCCACACUGCUUUCUAGAGUGGUUGCACCAAUUUGCAGUCCUACCAGCAGU